rnacentral:rRNA from 1 species
UAAGACCCCUGAAAGACUAUCAGGUUGAUAGGUUGGAGGUGUAAGUACAGUAAUGUAUUCAGCUGACCAAUACUAAUAGGUCGAGGGCUUGAUCAAAUAUUUAUUAU